rnacentral:rRNA from 1 species
AUUGAACGCUGGCGGCAUGCCUUACACAUACAAGUCGAACGGCAGCAUGGAAGAGCUUGCUCUUCUGAUGGCGAGUGGCGAACGGGUGAGUAAAGCAUCGGAACGUACCGUGUAGUGGGGGAUAACGUAGCGAAAGUUACGCUAAUACCGCAUACGCACUGAGGUGGAAAGCAGGGGAUCGCAAGACCUUGCGCUAUACGAGCGGCCGAUGUCAGAUUAGCUAGUUGGUAGGGUAAAGGCCUACCAAGGCGACGAUCUGUAGCGGGUCUGAGAGGAUGAUCCGCCACACUGGGACUGAGACACGGUCCAGACUCCUACGGGAGGCAGCAGUGGGGAAUCUUGCGCAAUGGGCGAAAGCCUGACGCAGCCAUGCCGCGUGUAUGAUGAAGGUCUUAGGAUUGUAAAAAUACUUUACACCGGUGAAGAUAAAUGACUGUAGCCGGAGAAGAAGCCCCGGCUAACUUCGUGCCAGCAGCCG